rnacentral:rRNA from 1 species
UACGAAGGGUGCAAGCGUUGUCCGGAAUCAUUGGGCGUAAAGCGCGCGUAGGUGGCCUCGUAAGUCCGCUGUGAAAGUCCAAGGCUCAACCUUGGAAAGCCGGUGGAUACUGUGAGGCUAGAGUACGGAAGAGGCGAGUGGAAUUCCUGGUGUAGCGGUGGAAUGCGCAGAUAUCAGGAGGAACACCAAUAGCGAAGGCAGCUCGCUGGGACGUUACUGACGCUGAGGAGCGAAAGCAUGGGGAGCGAACAGG